UACGUAGGGUGCGAGCGUUAAUCGGAAUUACUGGGCGUAAAGCGUGCGCAGGCGGUUUUGUAAGCCAGAUGUGAAAUCCCCGGGCUUAACCUGGGAAUGGCAUUUGGGACUGCAAGGCUCGAGUGCGGCAGAGGAGACUGGAAUUCCUGGUGUAGCAGUGAAAUGCGUAGAUAUGCGGAGGAACACCGAUGGCGAAGGCAGUCCCCUGGGCCUGUACUGACGCUCAUGCACGAAAGCGUGGGGAGCAAACAGG
rnacentral:rRNA from 1 species